ACUUUCCUUGUAGACAGAACCCAACAAGCUGGUACACGCCAAUGCGAGUKGAGCAGUCGUUUUAAGGAGCGUAAACAAUGAACUGGGACAUAACAAGGAAUCCCAUGAGACCCUUGCCCACCUCAAGUUCUAUAUCAAAGAGACCAAGCAGUGUUCAAUACACAACUACAUCAAACAAACUCAUUGAUGAUGUGGUUCAAAGAAACAGCUUUAAGGUUCAUCUAAUGUCAUGUGCAAAUGACACAAGAUGAAAGGAACUCAUACAAGCCAAAAAAAUGCCUUAUGUAAGGUAGGCAACACAAGAAACCCACAAUUUGGUUAAGCAAUUAAAGCCUUCACAUACRAAUGAAAAAGGUAAGGCAGGUGGAAGUUGUUGCACAAGCAAAGAGCCAACCACCAUUAACAAACC
rnacentral:misc_RNA from 1 species